rnacentral:tRNA from 1 species
GUUAAAGUAGCAAAGAUGGAAAAUGCAAGAAGUCUAAGUUUUCUUUAUCAAAGGUUCGAGUCCUUUCUUUAAUU